UUCUCUUGGACUGCAUGUCAUGCUGCUUCCUUCUUGUUUGUCUAAAUUAUAAAGCCUUGACCCAAAAUGCAAAUUCAGAGGUUUUGUUUAUUAAAACCAUCAGACACUAAUGCAGUCUACUAAUAGUAACUGAAGUAAAAGCAUAUUGAUGGUAGGGAUUUUCACACAGCGACAGGUGGCGAGGUCUGCUCAGAGAACAACCUGAAGUUCCCAGAGUGAAAUCAGAAUGGUCGGUUCGGCUGUGAUUGGCGAAUCAAGCCUGGUAAACAACUGUGGAACUUCAAAAACAAUGGCUGCCCAGUUCAUGCUCCAAACUGAUUGAAUAUGAAUAGUUGUGUGAUCUUAAUGGGUAGCUUCGGUGAGAAUCACUGCAAUAAAGAUUAACUGUUUAUCAUUCAUUAUUAGCUUGUUAUUAACAUUAAUACUGUAAAACAUAUUAAACCUUUUCUCUGAGGAAAGUCUAGGGAGAACAUAAAUGGGACCAUGGAUUUUAUCAGACCUUUCUUUAUACUUGCUAUUAUGAUGUUUGGGGACAUCGGAUUUGAAUUGUAGUGUGAAAAAAUCUAUGAAAUAAAGUUAUAUUGCAAUUACUGUG
ensembl:lncRNA